rnacentral:rRNA from 1 species
UACGUAGGGGGCAAGCGUUAUCCGGAAUCAUUGGGCGUAAAGCGCGUGUAGGCGGUUCACCAAGUCCGCUCUGAAAGCCCAGGGCUCAACCCUGGGAGGCGGGUGGAUACUGGUGGACUAGAGUCCGGAAGUGGAGAUUGGAAUUCCUGGUGUAGCGGUGAAAUGCGCAGAUAUCAGGAGGAACACCCGUGGCGAAAGCGGCUCUCUGGGACGGUACUGACGCUGAGACGCGAAAGCGUGGGGAGCAAACAGG